AAUCAACGCUGGCGGCGUGCCUCAGACAUGCAAGUCGAACGAUUAAAGCUCUCUUCGGAGAGUGUAUAGAGUGGCGCACGGGUGAGUAACACGUAAGUAAUCUACCUUCGAGUGGGAAUAACAGUCGGAAACGACUGCUAAUACCGCAUAAUGCAGCGGCAUCGCAAGAUGACAGUUGUUAAAGGAGCAAUUCGCUUGAAGAGGAGCUGCGGCAGAUUAGCUAGUUGGUAAGGUAAUGGCUUACCAAGGCUACGAUCUGUAUCCGGUCUAAGAGGACGGUCGGACACACUGACACUGAAUAACGGGUCAGACUCCUACGGGAGGCAGCAGUCGGGAAUUUUGGGCAAUGGGCGAAAGCCUGACCCAGCAACGCCGCGUGAAGGAUGAAGUAUUUCGGUAUGUAAACUUCGAAAGAAUAGGAAGAAUAAUGACGGUACUAUUUAUAAGGUCCGGCUAACUACGUGCCAGCCGCCGCAGUAAC
rnacentral:rRNA from 1 species